GUGUAGACUCUGGAAAAACUGAAGGCUAAAAGGCCCACUUGAAGCGUCAUGUCCACCAUUGAUUCAUUCAGAGCUCAAGUCCCACGCUGAAAACACAACCGCGAUCACCCUCGUCACAAGUUAUACCUGCCCACUCACAACAAUACGAGGUGAGGAGAAAACACAACAAAGAAAAAAAGGAAUUCAAGCUGACUUAGGAAACACAUGUGGUGGCGAAGUUUCCUUGUUAAGCAAGGAAAAUAAUUCAACAACUUAAUUGUGUUUCCUACUCUUGAAAGGAUACCAAGAGGUGACAAAAGAGAGCGCUAAAGGCAACAUCCUUUUCCUUCCAAAAAAAAGAUAAAUACAAGGCUGAGAUUAAAAUCCUAUUUUAACUUGGAAACCAAAGGGGCAACAACUUCUGUUUUAGUUCCUAGGAUUAUUGGGUAGCAUUAUAGGCUAUAAAUAAGUCUUGUAUUAAACUUGCAAUGUUUUAUUUCUUCUCAUGGCAAAAUAAGACUUGAACUUAUGGGCUUUAUUUUUAUUUUGUUAGCUAUAGCUCAAGGCUUGUUUGGGCUUAAUUAAUACUUUAUUUUUAACUAAGACAUAAGGCUUGUUUGAA